UUGGGGAAGAACAAAAUGACGGUACCCAAGGAAUCAGCAUCGGCUAACUCCGCCACAGCAGCCGCGGUAAUAGAGAGGAUGCAAGCGUUAUCCGGAAUUAGGGGUAAAAGCGUCCGCAGGUGGCACUUCAUGUUUGCUGUCAAAUACUGGGGUUUACCCCGGGAGAGCCAGGGGAAAGUGAAGCGCUAGAGGGUAGUAGGGGUAGAGGGAAUUCAUGGUGUAGGGGUGAAAUCCGUAGAGAUCAG
rnacentral:rRNA from 1 species